rnacentral:rRNA from 1 species
UGACCAGACUCCUACGGGAGGCAGCAGUGGGGAAUAUUGCACAAUGGGGGAAACCCUGAUGCAGCGACGCCGCGUGAGGGAAGAAGGUUUUCGGAUUGUAAACCUCUGUCCUUGGUGACGAAAGAAGACGGUAGCCAAGGAGGAAGCCACGGCUAACUACGUGCCAGCAGCCGCGGUAAUACGUAGGGGGCAAGCGUUAUCCGGAUUUACUGGGUGUAAAGGGAGCGUAGACGGCAGUGCAAGUCUGGAGUGAAAGGCGGGGGCUCAACCCCCGGACUGCUCUGGAAACUGUACGGCUGGAGUGCAGGAGAGGUAAGUGGAAUUCCUAGUGUAGCGGUGAAAUGCGUAGAUAUUAGGAGGAACACCAGUGGCGAAGGCGGCUUACUGGACUGUAACUGACGUUGAGGCUCGAAAGCGUGGGGAGCAAACAGGAUUAGAUACCCUUGUA